rnacentral:rRNA from 1 species
AACGAACGCUGGCGGCAGGCCUAACACAUGCAAGUCGAGCGCGCCCUUCGGGGUGAGCGGCGGACGGGUGAGUAACGCGUGGGAACGUGCCCUUUUCUACGGAAUAGUCUCUGUAAGCUGAGGGUAAUACCGGAUACGCUCUUCGGGGGAAAGAUUUGUCGUAAAAGGAUCGGCCCGCGUUGGUUUAGGUUGUUGGUGGUGUAAUGGCCUACCAAGCCGACGAUCGUUAGCUGGUUUGAGAGGCGGAUCAGCCACACUGGGACUGAGACACGGCCCAGACUCCUACGGGAGGGAGCAGUGGGGAAUCUUAGACAAUGGCGGCAACCCUGAUCUAGCCAUGCCGCGUGAGUGAUGAAGUCCUUAGGGUUGUAAAGCUCUUUCAGCUGGGAAGAUAAUGACGGUACCAGCAGAAGAAGCCCCGGCUAACUCCGUG